rnacentral:rRNA from 1 species
UACGGGGGGGGCAAGCGUUGUUCGGAAUUACUGGGCGUAAAGGGCUCGUAGGUGGCCAACUAAGUCAGACAUGAAAUCCCUCAGCUUAACUGGGGAACUGCGUCUGAUACUGGAUGGCUUGAGUUUGGGAGAGGGAUGCGGAAUUCCAGGUGUAGCGGUGAAAUGCGUAGAUAUCUGGAGGAACACCGGUGGCGAAGGCGGCAUCCUGGACCAAUACUGACACUGAGGAGCGAAAGCCAGGGGAGCAAACGGG